CUACGGGCGGCAGCAGUGAGGAAUUUUGCGCAAUGGGGGAAACCCUGACGCAGCAACGCCGCGUGAGUGAUGAAGGAUUUCGGUUCGUAAAGCUCUGUCAAGUGGGAAGAAGUUAUCAUAUAUGAAUAGUAUAUGGUAUUGACGGUACCACUGAAGGAAGCACCGGCUAACUCCGUGCCAGCAGCCGCGGUAAUACGGAGGGUGCAAGCGUUAUUCGGAUUUACUGGGCGUAAAGGGCGCGUAGGCGGCCUGAUAAGUCAGAUGUGAAAGCCCGGGGCUCAACCCCGGAAGUGCAUUUGAAACUGGUGGGCUUGAGUAUGGUAGAGGGAAGUGGAAUUCCUGGUGUAGCGGUGAAAUGCGUAGAUAUCAGGAGGAACACCGGUGGCGAAGGCGACUUCCUGGACCAAAACUGACGCUGAGGCGCGAAGGUGUGGGUAGCAAACAGGAUUAGAUACCCCUGUAGUC
rnacentral:rRNA from 1 species